GGGCGCUCGGGGCAGGCAGCUGGGAGUGGCCCUUGUGUUGACAGCUGCUGCCGCCUCUUCCACAG
rnacentral:miRNA from 1 species